CAGGCCUAACACAUGCAAGUCGAACGGCAGCACGGGAGCAAUCCUGGUGGCGAGUGGCGAACGGGUGAGUAAUACAUCGGAACGUACCCAGUUGUGGGGGAUAGCUCGGCGGAAGCCGGAUUAAUACCGCAUACGACCUGAGGGUGAAAGCGGGGGAUCGCAAGACCUCGCGCAGUUGGAGCGGCCGAUGUCAGAUUAGCUAGUUGGUGGGGUAAAGGCCUACCAAGGCGACGAUCUGUAGCUGGUCUGAGAGGACGACCAGCCACACUGGGACUGAGACACGGCCCAGACUCCUACGGGAGGCAGCAGUGGGGAAUUUUGGACAAUGGGCGCAAGCCUGAUCCAGCCAUGCCGCGUGCGGGAAGAAGGCCUUCGGGUUGUAAACCGCUUUUGUCAGGGAAGAAACGGUCUGUGCUAAUACCGCAGACUAAUGACGGUACCUGGAGAAUAAGCACCGGCUAACUACGUGCCAGCAGCCGCGGUAAU
rnacentral:rRNA from 1 species